UUACAAACGCUCAAAGUAUGACAGAAUGUAUAUCAUAUUGCGUCUGAUAAACGUGACAAAUACAACUUUCAACAACGGAUCUCUUGGCUCUCGCAUCGAUGAAGAACGCAGCGAAAUGCGAUAAGUAAUGUGAAUUGCAGAAUUCAGUGAAUCAUCGAAUCUUUGAACGCACCUUGCGCUCCUUGGUAUUCCGAGGAGCAUGCCUGUUUGAGUGUCAUGAAAUUCUCAACUGCCCCAGGCUUUGUGGCCUGCGGGUGAAGUUGGACUUGGAGGUAUGCUGGCGCAUGAAUGGGCUUUUGUGCCCCGUCUCGCUUGUUGGCUCCUCUNGAAUGCAUGAGCUUUCCAAUCCUUGGCAAAGUAUCGUCGAUGUGAUAAUUGUCUACGUCGCCUGAGAAAGCCGAAAAGGGGAAAUCUUUGAUCACGCUGGGGUGACCUGCGUCUGACAAAUUCGACCUCAAAUCAGGUAGGACUACCCGCUGAACUUAAGCAUAUCAAUAAGCGGAGGAAAAGAAACUAACAAGGAUUCCCCUAGUAACUGCGAGUGAAGCGGGAAAAGCUCAAAUUUAAAAUCUGGCGGCCUCCGGUCGU
rnacentral:rRNA from 1 species